rnacentral:rRNA from 1 species
AUGAGUCGUCCUGAUGGCAUCAACAUCCCCGAUGGCAAGUUCUACCUAGGAGAUGUUGGCUAUGCAUGUCGGCCAGGUAUUUCACCCUUCGAGAAAACCAGGUACCAUAUGAAUGAGUUCGCUGGUAGGAACUAUCCCAGGACUCCACAGGUCUUCAAUCUCAGACACUCGAGCCUUAGAGUUACUGUUGAGAGUGCCUUUGGAGUUCUGAAGAACAUGUUUAAGAUCCUAGACCAGAAGUCAUUCCACACUUUCCCCACUUUGGUUAAGCUUAUUCUUGCUUGUUGCAUUUUGCAUAACUUGAUCCUGCAAUGGGGCUGUGAUGAACUGCUUCCUAAAGAGGAAGAUGUGACGCCUGACGAUGUUGUCAGCUCCGGCCAUGGUAUGGAGGCAUUUGACGAUGAAGCCUGGAAGAACAGAAGGAUGGAGUGGGCACAAGCAAUGUGGGAUAACAGAUGUUAG